CUCAGAAUGUCAAGAAGAACUGAAAGCAAGCACUGAAUAUUGAGAAAAUUCGAAUUAUCAGAACAUGGAAUGGAGAUUGCUGACUUCUCAAGGCUAACCUUGCUACAUAUAUGUCCCUAAUUGGCUUUAGAGAAUAACAGCUGCAAAACUCUUUAUACUAACUGCAUGACAGUAGCUAGCCUUGUUGUCUGAAGAAUAAAGCCCAAAUUAACUUCUCCAAAUAAGGCAAUAGGUGGGUUGAGUUUGACUACUGGAGAAUAGCUGCAGUAAAAAGGAUGUUAAUUUGUUUUAAAACGUUAAAGGAGCAUUCAACACAAAAAUUUGAUUUCAUGUUUUAGAUAGAACAUACAAUAUUAAACAACUUAACAUUUUA